CGCCUCCCUGGUUGCCGUGGCGACUGGAGGCACGCGACGCGGGCGCGAUGGCGGGGACUCUAGGCCCGGGACUUGAUGCUGCUUGGGCCUGGCCCAGUGGCGGGUCCUGGGGACGUGGCAGAGGCUGGCAGGCCACCAAUUCCUGUAAUAUCUGGGGGCCAGAACAGGGGAUGUCCUGGAUACUUCCAAAUGGCAAGAUUUGGAAUUCAGUCUUCUAACCUAGCCAUGGUUUCAUAUUCCAGGACUUUUUGGUUGGCGGGACACAGAUACUGGCCCUUCAAGGCAGAAUUCAGGCGAUGGGUGAGUCCCUGUGACAGGUGGACAUGCCCAGCAGGCUGCAUUUACCCUGCUGAUCUGUGGGCUAUUUUCACCCUUCUCGAGCCAGAAAAUGCAUGACACAGGAGAAGAUGCACCCUUAUCUGUUCAGUGAGAGAUGUGCAAAUCAACAUCAACACAGAACUGCUGAAGAAAAAAUAUGUGUGUGUAUGUUACUAUGUGAUGUGUGUGUGUAAUAUAUAUAUAUAUUUAAUAUAUAGUA
rnacentral:lncRNA from 10 species